GCUUGAUUUUUUCUUCUGACAAACCUUCAUUAUGCUUGAUUUUCCCUAGCAGAUGUUAUAGGGGAUCAAAGUCUUCUUGAUCUUGGAAGGUCUUUAACAUCGUUUGUUGACUGAUUUUUAUUCUCAAAACGACUUCUAGUGGAAUGGUGAUGACCAACAAAUCGUGCAAUUAUCACAGCGAGAUACCUGUUUCUCUCAUGCUGGUUAUCUACCAUCUGGCUGCAGUUAUGAGUUUUG
rnacentral:lncRNA from 1 species